UGGAAGGCAGCAGCUUUUAGAACUAGACAACUUAGUAGCGUCCGAUUAACACAGUUGCUAGCUCUGUCACAUAGAUGCACGUAGAUUUGAUACAAAUACAUGAAAGAAAAACUGCGUGGAAGUAUGUAUAUAUAAUUUCUGUUUGGCUGAGCGGAACGUGCUGCCUUCCAGGCGUCACUGAAGGAAGGAAAGUACCAUGGGGGUUCAAGUGGAGUGGAAGAUGUUUCCCCCCAAUGUGUCUGGGUCGUAUUGCACACCCGUUUGAUAGCCCAUUUGUCUCGUUUUAGUGCUGCCGCGUUGAUUUAAAGUCGAAUUUACUUUGAAUACUUUUCACCUCAUUUUCUUGGGGUUUUGAGGCAUGCAUACAACUUUAAUUUAAACGCAUACACGCGCACCUAUACUUCAAUCCACACUCACUCAUUCGCUCCGCUUCGACCCAACAACUGGAUAUCCUAUCAACGUCUUCAGACCAACAAUAUUGUAUGCCUCUCUCCCUGCAUACCUCAAUGGGAAGCUGUCUCACUGUAUCAGCAGAUCCAGGAAGCAGCCUAAAAGCCCUCCAGAUGCAACGUGUGAAUGUGACCACAUCCAAGAAUAUUAUCACGGCACUGCUGACUGAUGGCAUAGGCGCUGGCUCAAAACGUCAGCCUUUUCAUCCCGGAGUCAGGGCAUGAGAGAUCAGGCACGAAACAUCCCAGUCAAAUUUUCCAAUACGCUGGGCUGCUGGAGAUGACAGCUGUCAUUAAUGCGUAUCCGGAUACAGAUCUGAGCUGUUGGCGGAGUGAAGUGCCUUCCCGUGGAACCACGGUAUUCUGGCCGGCUUGGAGCAGCACGGAGGACCUACAAGUAAAGCACAUUUUGUCAGGUGUUGUUUUUUCUUAUGAGUGAGGAUGAAAUAUUCUGAACAGUAGUAAUUGCCAUUAACUCAUUAACUUUGUAUGCACCCUGCCAAUGUCCAAAUCCCCACUGAUGUACCUUUAAGACACACUAAUCAUUGGCUCGAUAGACUAAUAAUUUUGCAUAGAGUGCUUUUGGAUCUU